GACGAACGCUGGCGGCGUGCUUAACACAUGCAAGUCGAACGGAAAGGCCCUGCUUUUGUGGGGUGCUCGAGUGGCGAACGGGUGAGUAACACGUGAGUAACCUGCCCUUGACUUUGGGAUAACUUCAGGAAACUGUGGCUAAUACCGGAUAGGAGCUCCUGCUGCAUGGUGGGGGUUGGAAAGUUUCGGCGGUUGGGGAUGGACUCGCGGCUUAUCAGCUUGUCGGUGGGGUAGUGGCUUACCAAGGCUUUGACGGGUAGCCGGCCUGAGAGGGUGACCGGCCACAUUGGGACUGAGAUACGGCCCAGACUCCUACGGGAGGCAGCAGUGGGGAAUAUUGCACAAUGGGCGGAAGCCUGAUGCAGCAACGCCGCGUGCGGGAUGACGGCCUUCGGGUUGUAAACCGCUUUCGCCUGUGACGAAGCGUGAGUGACGGUAAUGGGUAAAGAAGCACCGGCUAACUACGUG
rnacentral:rRNA from 1 species